GCCGAAGUGGUGAAAUUGGUAUACGCGCAUGAUUCAGGUUCAUGUGGGGCAACCCGUGCGGGUUCGAGUCCCGCCUUCGGCA
rnacentral:tRNA from 1 species